rnacentral:lncRNA from 1 species
UUUCCAACAACCACCUUACUUAUUUGUAAUGUUUAGUUUCACGAAAGCACAUGCAUCAAGUAUACAGAGGAACUCAACUGGAGAGGAAGGCUAUGAAUGUAAGGAAUGUGGGAAAGCAUUGAGACGUUCUUGUUCUUUUAAAAUGCAUGAAAGGACUCACACUGGAGAAAGACCCUAUAAAUGUACCAAAUGUGAUAAAGCCUUCAGUUAUUCCACUUCCCAUUGUGGAAAAGCAUUCAGUUGUAUUAGUUCUUUUUCAAAGACAUAAAAAGCCACAGGGGAAAAAAAAAAAAAGAAAAAAAAAGCCCUACGCAUGUAAGAAAUGUGGUAAAGCACUUACUCUUUCCAUUUUCCUCAUAAACAUGAAAGAGCUCACACUGGAGAGAAACCUUAAAAAUGUGAGAAAUGUGGUAAAGC